AUUUUAUCAUAAAUAAAAGGUAAGUUUGUCACUGUCGCUUUUGGCUCUUCGGCUAUAGUGAAAGUGAAAAUGUUUGAACUUGAACUUCAAUAUCCUCCAACAGGUCCUUUCCUUUUUCGUUUUGGGCUGGUGUUAUUUUGCUGGUUUGACCAAUGAGAAUUUCCCUUAACCUCAGUCGCCUUGUGUUACUAGCCAAACACAGAUCUUUUAGGAUGACACUCUGUGGCUCUCUGCAGCUUCCCACCCACUCUCGCUCAUCAUCACAUCGUCGCGCCUGUGUCACAUCUUUGCGGCUGUAAAGCUGACUGCAUCACAGCGAGGGGGUGACGUGGUCUCAUGUGGGAAUGCGGCUUAUAAAUCCUCACCUCUUUUCCAGAAUGCGAAAGAUACACUGGUUGUAUCCUCCGAGGCCGACCGUGUUCCAGGAUUCAUUACGCGCACUUUGCUGUCACAUAUUUCUCCCUGAAAAUGACGGAAAGCUCAAGGAAAGCGACCGAGGAAUACACUUUUAAACGUGUCCGGGAUCAGGAAGACCUGGUUAAGGGUGAAGUGUUCCAACAGGCUUUCCAUCCCCCUGAUGACACGCCGGCCUAAAUUCAGAAGUUUGUGAGGAAGACGAGGAGAAGCAGGAGCCAACCAGCUGAGACAGAGCGAGACUGUUCUCUCUUUACUUGGUUUAACCGACUGCUAAAUAUAUAAUUUAUCAUCAGCUAUUUCUUACAUAAAUCAUAACAGAAAGAAAAGUGACAGAAGGUCAGGGCUGACAACAUCUGCCAUAUUAGAAAGAUGUUCUCAAAAGAGUUAAAAAAAGAAGAAGAAGAAGAAGAAGAGACAGUUAAUACAAUUUUUUAAAAGAAGAAGCUAAACACCAGGGUUUUAAGCAGGGCGCCCAGUCCAAGUCUGGCUGUGAAGGUCCAGCAGGACUGUCAGGACCUUACUGCUCAGCCAAAAUCUCCCAGGUCCUCCCUGCAGUAAAGAGGCGUUUCCUGGUUUAGACAAAGAAGGAAAAAUAAUAACUGUGGACAGCUUUGACUGAUGAGGCUUAAAGGAAAUCAUUUUUCUGAACCAUAUGUCGUCUUUAUAGUUAUUGUUAAAAAUAUCUUAUAUGUGGCUGUUUUCAGUGGUGAAAAAAGAACUGAUACACUAAAAAAUAGUCCAGAAUAAAGGAGGACUCCAAGUUAAAUAUUCAAGGUAGCAGCAGCAAAAUGUACUUGAGACAUGAAAAAAUAAGUGUUAAAGUUAAAUAACCUGUUUUCUCUGGCAUGUGAGAUAUAUGGUGUUUUUAUUGAUGAGUAUCAAUACUGGAUGUUGGAAGUUUGUAUCAUAUGAGGCACAUUUAUACAAUAUGGAGAACCAGGAGAGACAUGUACAUGGAAAGAAAGCAUUUUAUUAAUUAAUAAUGAAUUGUGCAAUAAAAUAUUAAUUACAAAUUCUACCGAUCUCCAUCGAUGUCGGUCAGCGGCGACGGCUUCAGCUUCGUCCCAGGCAAUGUCGAUGGUUCUAUUUAGACAUUAAAAUGGUAAAUGGUAAAUGGCCUGUAUUUAUAUAGCGCUUUAAUAGUCCCUAAGGACCCCAAAGCGCUUUACAUAUCCAGACAUCCACCCAUUCACACACACAUUCACACACUGGUGAUGGCAAGCUACAUAGUAGCCACAGCCACCCUGGGGCGCACUGACAUUAACAAAGUAAUUUAUUGUUUGAUCAUUUAAUGGGCAAUAACAAAAAAGGAAGAUGAAUUAUAAAUAUUUCCAAGUCAUCCGUGCGUCAAUCAAUCAAUCAAUCAAUCAAUCAGUCAGUCAAUCAAAUGGAAAGCAGAUUAUCAAAACAAAACAAAAAUAUUCAACACUCAAUAAAAACAUCUAAAAAAAAAUCAGGAUUAAAAAAAUAUUUUUUCAAAAUCUUUUAAGAAUAAAAAUAGAUCAACAGAUUCAAAAAUGAAAUUAGGAAUAGGGUCAAUAAAUAUUAAGAACAUUACGAAUCAAAAAAUGUUAAGUGGAAUGACUCUCUCUGUAAUGUGAUUCACAGCAUCAUACUCAGUGGACAACAGUCAGGGUUAACGAUCAGCUACAAAGCCAGCAAACCCAAGUACUGAUCGAUAGAGACAAACUAUGAAGGCCUUGUUCUGUGUUUAUUAUGGCACACUGCACUACAUGCAAACUCAACGUGCUGAACACAGAACACACAAACAGAAACCUGUGUAAACCUUUACGAUGCCUUAAGGCAGCGAAAGCAGCAAAACAAAACACUUAAGUAUCGGCCCGUGUGAAUAAAGAGGUUUUGGGUCUGUUUUUUAACGUGUGCACAGAUGUAAUAGAUCCUUCCAAAGAACAAGACCACAGUAACUACAAGCACCCUCAUUGCACUUAGAUCUAAUUCUGGGAACACUUAAAACAUCUGCACCUGAUGACCUGAGACUGGGUUGUAAACUAGAAUGAUAAAGAAGGGUACUGCUUUUGUUUCCAUCUAUUUUGGUUUUUGCCUUUUCCCAUAUUUUCUUUAUUAUAUAAAUAUAUUUGGUUGCUUGAUUAUUACGACAAAGCCUCUGCAGCAUUUUUUUCUUAUCAGUAUAAUCCUACUCCUUUACAAAUUUUGUAUCUAUAAAUGUAAAUUUGCAAACAGAGCAUACAUUUUUGUAUCAUAAAGAAAUGAAACUGAUUUCUUCCUCACGCACACAAGGAAAGAUGGUCAUAUAUGCAACAUUUUUGCUGUCUUUUAAUGAACUUGUUGCCUUGUUACGUUUUUGUUGUUCUGUACUCUGGCGCUUAAAAAUGAAGCCAACAAGGAAGCGGCAAAAAAAAAAAAAAAAGAGAACUGCACUUCCUCUUUAAGCCACUUGAGGCUGUCUCAAAAAUGUGACAGUGGAGUGAGGGGGGUGGUUGCUUUGAUUGACAGGUGUGCUGUGUGAGCACUCGCCCUCUCCUCUCUCCCUCUGCAUCACCUCCAUCAGUCUUCUCUGUGGCCCUGCUCUCUUCCUCCUGCCUGGAAGCUCCACCUUCAGCAUCCUUUGUACCACCGCCUCUGUACAUCUGUACACACAUCCCAGCAGGUCUAACUACUAUCUUGUAAACUCUCCCUUUCACUCUUGCUGCUAUCCUUCUGACACACCCACUCCACCCUCCCUUCUCUUCUUCACCUGUUGGACACUGUCCUUUGCUUUUGGAUAUCCUGAUAGUCUUCUGUGUUAGUUGUUAUUCAAAGGUUUCAAAUCUAUUUCUUUGGAAUGAACAUAAAAUGAGGAAAUACAAAAAAAAAUAUAUGUAUAAUUAAACAUGUGAAUUAUGCCAGAA